AACAUACAGAAUAAGAAAUGCUUGCACCUUUGAGACCGGCGGUACUUAAGCACCGAUCCCGGCUUAGGAUGUGGGGUUAAAAAGUACUUGAUAGAACUUUAGGCAAUCUUGAUGAAUUCCUGGCAAUUGAUAACAGCACCAAAUGCUGCAGCUUCAAAAUCCAAAUGCAAAAACGAUUAUUUUUCUAGAAUGUUCACAAGAUGAAUGAAUUCUUAUGUGAUUUGUGAUGUGUCUGGCAGCCUUUCUCUCUUCCUCCUGAGCAGUUAUCUGCGCCAGCAACAGGGCACAGGCACUUCUGAGCAUCCAGGGAGAUGGAUGCUAGCUCCCACAUAUCCAUCCCACAGUGGGAGAACACAUCCUAAGAAGACCCCCAAAUGACCACCCUCAGUCAAAUAAGGUCUGCUUAGGAAGAGGCAGUUAGUUGGAACACACUAACAUCUCAAAUCAAGAGGCUUUAAAAGCAGCAUAGACUUUCUCCACUCUAUUUUUGGAUUGUUUCGGACUGGCAGGUCCUUGGCCCAUCCUGGCGGCCCACACUUCAGAUCCUGCAGCUCACAGUCGCCUCCUGCUGGCUGGAAGGAACCGCGCAGUCCCUCUGAGAACUGGUCAACGGGGAAUGCCCACCCUUUUACCUUGUACAGAUCCGGAUGGUAUGUUGUCGUUGUGGGCCCAACAAGCGUGGUGUCUGAUGGGAUCCCGUUGGGUCCUGGCUGCCCAACGUCACCCUGCAGAUUGUUCAGCAAAAGCGACAGUUUUGAAUCAGAAGAAGGGGGACUUCACGCCGAUCGCAGUUCAUAUUUAUGUGCCUGUUUGGAUUGUUUUCUGAGGCGAAGUCAGGCCCGCGUCUCAGCCGGUGUUUAUCUAACAGCUCCUCUGAGGAGCAGCUGGGCUGGAGUCAGCCCUCCCUGACGCCUGGGACCAGCGAUGCAUGCGAGGAGCCACCCCACAAAUUCACACGCGUUUCCACACACAGCUCUUUCCUCUUGGCCCCAAGCAGCUGCGUCUCUUUCCCAGGGUCUCUCUCUUGCUACAGUGAGCAAGAGUCACACAGGACCCCUCCAGUCUCGCUCGGCAGUCUGCUGUCUGCCCCCUCCGAUGCUUAGAUAUCUUUUGAAAAUAAAAGCAGAACCUUUAAUUAAAUUCUGCUUCUCUUGCUUCGCCACCUGGCUGGGAGCUCAUAUCAAAGCACAGCAUGGCGGCCAUGGAGU